UUAAUCACUGAAGAAACUGGCCUGUUGAAAACCCAGAAUCUCUGAGGACAGAAAUUCUGAGGCCAAAUCCAGUUCCGCCUCCUCUCCAAAGGCUCCUCACAGCCUUCCUAAAGCCCCAGAAACAGACAGAAGUCUUCCCACUGAUAGUGAUGUAUUUUGGAGGCUAAACACAAAACUAAGUAACAAAAAUAAUGGUUCUUGCUCUAAUGCUGUUUUUCUGUUGAUCAGAAGCACCUAUCUGCACACCAACAGUAUUUCAAAUACAAAAAGAAUUUGGAAGUGGCACAACUGCAGCAGGCUGACUGCAAACUGGGACCUUCUUAUUGUUGCUGAUAAAGUCCUGGUUGUUCCCACCAAGGGAUAGGAGCUUUCACCACCAUUGCUGAACCCUUCUCUGUCCCUCAGUUCAGGAGAAAAAGCUUCCUUGAGCUGCCCUACUUUAAGGUGACAGUCACUCUUGCAGACACCAGGAAAUGCACAUCUACAGACUUGGACAUCAAGCAGACACCAGGAAAUGCACAUCAAGCAGAAGAAACAAGGUUAUCCCCAUGUACUUCAGGAAAGGUGUUUUGUUUUUUCUCCACAGCAAAUCUAUAAAGCAUGACCAUCUAUGUGCAAACUGCACAAUUCCUCCACUGAAGAGAUAGCAGGGAAGUGAUCAAGGUCCUCUUUUGUCCUGCCUUCAUUCUCAAGCCCAUUUUGCAACUGCAAAUUCACAUGUUAAGGAUUUUCAAAGAAGGCUAACUAUAGAGGAAAAGUCCAGAAUAAAUAGAUACUUUUGAAAUUCUUUGAAGAAAUGCAGUUCUCUUCCCUACAUAAGUACCAGGUAGGUGACAUUCAAGAAUUAUUUGACCAGGUCAUCUUU